CGCGGGCGGUUUCAAGGCGCCCCCCCCGGGGGGUGGGGGGGACACACGCGCGGCGGGGGCGGUUUCGAGGCCCCCCCGCGCACAGCCCCGAGCGCCCCGGGCCGGAGCGAGCGCGAUCAAAGAGCGGCGAGAGGGGAACGGGCCGCGGGCAGCGCCCGCCGCAGGGUGUAAUUGAUUGAAAACGCUGAAAUAAAUCCCAAUCGCUCGUAACCACGAUUAGAUUACGGCGGGCGAUUCAUUACGCGGGACGGCAAUCGAGUUAGGAGGGAGCGGCCCGGGGCCGCGGGGACCCUGCGGCACCGCACGGACAGAGCUGUGUGCUCCGGGACACACGGACACGGCACGGGGACAGACGGACAAGGACAGGGCACAGCCCGGCACAGGCGCUGCUGCAGCGGGACGUGCGGCUGCGGCACGGAGCCGUGCCUGGGGACACACGGACACGGAAGGACACGGGAUGGCACCGCACAGCCAACCUUCACAUCCUCCUCCCUGCCGUGCGAAGGCCUGUGGGAUCCCUGUCCGCGUGGGAAGGGCCAGGAAAGGGCCAUUAUGGAUUAUCCGAGCGCGUGGAAUCCGUGCCGAGCGGGAGCGCAGGGCAGAUCCCGGCGUGCGGCCGCCGGUGGUCUGGGAGUGCUGGGAAAGAGUUUCCUGACUGAAAAAGAAAACCAAAAAAACCUCACAAAAAGCGGG